AGAGUUUGAUUCUGGCUCAGGAUUAACGCUGGCGGCGUGCCUAAUACAUGCAAGUCGAAUGGUAGUAGCAAUACAAACCAUGGCGAACGGGUGAGUAACACGUAGGCAACCUGACUUUAAGACGAGGAUAACCGUUGGAAACGACGGAUAAUACUGGAUAGGACAUCAGAAAGGGCAUCCUUAGAUGUUUAAAGGUUAUUAUGCCACUUAGAGAGGGGCCUGCGGCGCAUUAGCUAGUUGGUGAGAUAACAGCCCACCAAGGCGAUGAUGCGUAGCCGGACUGAGAGGUUGAACGGCCACAAUGGAACUGAGAACGGUCCAUACUCCUACGGGAGGCAGCAGUAGGGAAUUUUCGGCAAUGGGCGCAAGCCUGACCGAGCAACGCCGCGUGAACGAAGAAGUUAUUCGUAAUGUAAAGUUCUUUUAUCUGGGAAGAAAAAACAAAUUGACGGUACCAGAUGAAUAAGCUCCGGCUAACUACGUGCCAGCCGCAGC
rnacentral:rRNA from 1 species